rnacentral:rRNA from 1 species
GAUGAACGCUGGCGGCGUGCUUAACACAUGCAAGUCGAACGAUUAAGACCCCUUCGGGGGUGUAUAGAGUGGCGAACGGGUAAGUAACACGUGGGCAACCUGCCCCUUCCUCUGGGAUAACACGGAGAAAUCCGUGCUAAUACCGGAUACUCCAUAUCUGCGGCAUCGCGGAUAUGGGAAAGCUCCGACGGGAAGGGAUGGGCCCGCGGUCCAUUAGCUAGUCGGUGGGGUAACGGCCUACCGAGGCGACGAUGGAUAGCCGGGUUGAGAGACCGACCGGCCACAUUGGGACUGAGACACGGCCCAGACUCCUACGGGAGGCAGCAGUGGGGAAUUUUGCGCAAUGGGGGAAACCCUGACGCAGCAACGCCGCGUGCGGGAUGAAGGCCUUCGGGUUGUAAGCCGCUUUCAGCAGGGAAGAAUACAGACGGUACCUGCAGAAGAAGCUCCGGCUAACUACGUGCCAGCCGCCGCCGUAA